GAACUGUGCGAACGUUAUUCGGAAUCACUGGGCUUAAAGGGUGCGUAGGCGGUUACUUAGUAGGGGUGUGAAAUGCCCCGGCUCAACCGGGGCACGGCGCUCUAAACUGGGUAGCCCUGAGUGAGAUAGAGGUGUGCGGAACUUCCGGUGGAGCGGUGAAAUGUGUUGAGUAUCGGAGGGAACACCAUUGGCGAAAGCGGCACACUGGGUCUCAACUGACGCUGAGGCACGAAAGCCAGGGGAGCAAACGGGAUUAGAUACCCCGGUAGUCCUGGCUGUAAACGAUGAGUACUAGUUGGGAGGGGGUUCGCCUCAUCCUGACGUAGCGAAAGCGCUAAGUACUCCGCCUGGGGAGUAUGGUCGCAAAGGCUG
rnacentral:rRNA from 1 species